UUCAGCUUGUUGGUUGGGGUAAUGGCCCACCAAGGCGACGACGGGUAGCCGGCCUGAGAGGGUGACCGGCCACACUGGGACUGAGACACGGCCCAGACUCCUACGGGAGGCAGCAGUGGGGAAUAUUGCACAAUGGGCGAAAGCCUGAUGCAGCGACGCCGCGUGAGGGAUGACGGCCUUCGGGUUGUAAACCUCUUUCAGCAGGGAAGAAGCGAAAGUGACGGUACCUGCAGAAGAAGCGCCGGCUAACUACGUGCCAGCAGCCGCGGUAAUACGUAAGACGCAAGCGUUAUCCGGAAUUAUUGGGCGUAAAGAGCUCGUAGGCGGUUUGUCGCGUCUGCUGUGAAAGCCCGGGGCUCAACCCCGGGUCUGCAGUGGGUACGGGCAGACUAGAGUGCAGUAGGGGAGACUGGAAUUCCUGGUGUAGCGGUGAAAUGCGCAGAUAUCAGGAGGAACACCGAUGGCGAAGGCAGGUCUCUGGGCUGUAACUGACGCUGAGGAGCGAAAGCAUGGGGAGCGAACAGGAUUAGAUACCCUGGUAGUCCAUGCCGUAAACGUUGGGCACUAGGUGUGGGGGACAUUCCAC
rnacentral:rRNA from 1 species